CCUGAGUAAAGUGGCGCACGGGUGAGUAACACGUGACUAACCUACCUUUUAGUGGGGGAUAACCUAGGGAAACCUGGGCUAAUACCGCAUAAUACCUACGGGUCAAAGCAGCAAUGCGCUGAAAGAGGGGGUCGCGGCCGAUUAGCUAGUUGGCGGGGUAAUGGCCCACCAAGGCGAUGAUCGGUAUCCGGCCUGAGAGGGCGCACGGACACACUGGAACUGAAACACGGUCCAGACUCCUACGGGAGGCAGCAGUGGGGAAUUUUGCGCAAUGGGGGAAACCCUGACGCAGCAACGCCGCGUGGAGGAUGAAGUCCCUUGGGACGUAAACUCCUUUCGAUCGGGACGAUAAUGACGGUACCGGAAGAAGAAGCCCCGGCUAACUUCGUGCCAGCAGCCGCGGUAAUACGAGGGGGGCAAGCGUUGUUCGGAAUUAUUGGGCGUAAAGGGUGCGUAGGUGGUUCGGCAAGUCUUGUGUGAAAUCUUCAGGCUCAACUUGAAGUCUGCACAAGAAACUGCCGGGCUUGAGUAUGGGAGAGGUGAGUGGAAUUUCCGGUGUAGCGGUGAAAUGCGUAGAUAUCGGAAGGAACACCUGUGGCGAAAGCGGCUCACUGGACCAUUACUGACACUGAGGCACGAAAGCUAGGGGAGCAAACAGGAUUAGAUACCCUGGUAGUCCUAGCCCUAAACGAUGAUCGCUUGGUGUGGCGGGUAUCCAACCCUGCCGUGCCGUAGCUAACGCGUUAAGCGAUCCGCCUGGGGAGUACGGUCGCAAGGCUGAAACUCAAAGGAAUUGACGGGGGCCCGCACAAGCGGUGGAGCAUGUGGUUUAAUUCGACGCAACGCGAAGAACCUUACCUGGGCUCGAAAUGUAGUGGAAUC
rnacentral:rRNA from 1 species